rnacentral:rRNA from 1 species
GGCGGGCGCAGGCUACACAUGCAAGUCGAGCGGAUGAAGGGAGCUUGCUCCUGGAUUCAGCGGCGGACGGGUGAGUAAUGCCUAGGAAUCUGCCUGGUAGUGGGGGAUAACGUCCGGAAACGGGCGCUAAUACCGCAUACGUCCUGAGGGAGAAAGUGGGGGAUCUUCGGACCUCACGCUAUCAGAUGAGCCUAGGUCGGAUUAGCUAGUUGGUGGGGUAAAGGCCUACCAAGGCGACGAUCCGUAACUGGUCUGAGAGGAUGAUCAGUCACACUGGAACUGAGACACGGUCCAGACUCCUACGGGAGGCAGCAGUGGGGAAUAUUGGACAAUGGGCGAAAGCCUGAUCCAGCCAUGCCGCGUGUGUGAAGAAGGUCUUCGGAUUGUAAAGCACUUUAAGUUGGGAGGAAGGGCAGUAAGUUAAUACCUUGCUGUUUUGACGUUACCAACAGAAUAAGCACCGGCUAACUUCGUGCCAGCAGCCGCGGUAAUACGAAGGGUGCAAGCGUUAAUCGGAAUUACUGGGCGUAAAGCGCGCGUAGGUGGUUCAGCAAGUUGGAUGUGAAAUCCCCGGGCUCAACCUGGGAACUGCAUCCAAAACUACUGAGCUAGAGUACGGUAGAGGGUGGUGGAAUUUCCUGUGUAGCGGUGAAAUGCGUAGAUAUAGGAAGGAACACCAGUGGCGAAGGCGACCACCUGGACUGAUACUGACACUGAGGUGCGAAAGCGUGGGGAGCAAACAGGAUUAGAUACCCUGGUAGUCCACGCCGUAAACGAUGUCGACUAGCCGUUGGGAUCCUUGAGAUCUUAGUGGCGCAGCUAACGCGAUAAGUCGACCGCCUGGGGAGUACGGCCGCAAGGUUAAACUCAAAUGAAUUGACGGGGGCCCGCACAAGCGGUGGAGCAUGUGGUUAAUUCGAAGCACGCGAAAACCUUACCUGGCCUUGACUGCUGAGACUUUCCAAAGAUGGAUUGGUGCUUCGGAACUC